CACGUAGGGCGCAAGCGUUGUCCGGAAUUACUGGGCGUAAAGGGCGCGUAGGCGGGAUGGCAAGUCGGUCGUGAAAUCCUUCGGCUCAACCGAAGAACGUCGAUCGAUACUGCUGUUCUUGAGGGUUGCAGAGGAGACUGGAAUUCCCGGUGUAGCGGUGAAAUGCGCAGAUAUCGGGAGGACACCUAUGGCGAAGGCAGCUCGCUGGGACGUUACUGACGCUGAGACGCGAAAGCGUGGGGAGCAAACAGG
rnacentral:rRNA from 1 species